AUAAGGAGUGCCUCUGGGUUGGUGAACACAUCAGAUGCUGGGCAGGUGGUGUGUUGCCUCCCUCCAUACCAUGCAUCUCUUCCCUUUGGCUGAUCCUGAGGUGUAUCCCUUAGAAAUAAGCUGGUAAAUGAGUCUACUGCUAAGAUUUCAGCAUGUCCUGUGGCUGAGUUAAUCAGAGUUAUGACAGGAAGGUACCGGGCACACCAUCGCAAUGCUCCAUCAAUGCUAGUAUGUUGUGUUCUUUCCUUCAUAUCAAGUCAACUCAAGCUUGCUCUACUUACCUGGUGUACACAGUCUAAGAACUGUAAGAAGACUGGAGCAAAACCACUCCCCUGACAGUUGAGGGUCAAGCUGCUCCUCUGACUGAAUUUGUGACCAAAAGAGAGCCACUCUUUUUCAACCAACAUCUGGAAGCCUUCAAGUGUCCUAUAAAAGGGAUCACUGAGUAACUGAACCAGGGAUGUCACCUAGGGCAUAAGCAGGAUGGAUUGUCAUUAAUUUUAGUUCUGAAAAAGGCCUAUUACUAAGAUAAAAGCACUUCCUUCUGAUGAUAGCUAAUUCACAAAUUUACCUGGACAGCAAAUUUGUUCACUAACCAUUCCAGGAUGGCCAAUAAAAUUAAUUUUGUAAACUUGCCAGUAAAAACUAAAGCUCAAAUUCAUUUUGGCUACAAGUUUACUUUCAGGGAAUUGAGACUUUAAUCCUUAACUGGCCAGUUUGCUGACAGCAACCUUUUCCUAAGUUAAUCAGAGGCCAGAGGAUCAGUUAAAAUCAAUUCUACUUUUUGGCAGAUGCAGAUUAAUGUCUUAAUGUAGUCUGAACUCACACUUUUCACUCUGGAGUGAGUUAAGGCGGGGCUUAUAGAGAGCCAGGGGAUGGACUGACAAAACCCAGGAAGGAUGGUCCACGCCUCACACUGCUGGUCAAGGGCUCCAUCCGCAAGCCUGCAUGGUAC
rnacentral:lncRNA from 10 species